rnacentral:rRNA from 1 species
GACAGAGGUGCCAAGCGUUAGGCGGAAUCACUGGGCUUAAAGCGUGUGUAGGCGGAAUUGUAAGUACCUUGUGAAAUCCCACGGCUCAACCGUGGAACUGCUCGGUAUACUGCUUUUCUUGAGCCACUUAGGGGCUGUCGGAACAAACGGUGGAGCGGUGAAAUGCGUAGAUAUCGGAAGGAACAUCAGUGGCGAAGGCGACUUCCUGGACCAAUACUGACGCUCAGGUGCGAAAGCGUGGGGAGCAAACAGG